rnacentral:rRNA from 1 species
AGAGUUUGAUCAUGGCUCAGAACGAACGUUGGCGGCGUGCUUAACACAUGCAAGUCGAACGAGAAAGUUUCCUUCGGGAAGCGAGUAAAGUGGCGCACGGGUGAGUAACGCGUAGAUAACCUGUCCAGAUGUCCGGGAUAGCCCAUCGAAAGGCGGAUUAAUACCGGGUAUCUUGUUUUAACCUAAGUUGAACCAAGAAAGGUGGCCUCUAUUUAUAAGCUAUCGCAUUUGGAGGGGUCUGCGUACCAUUAGUUUGUUGGUGGGGUAACGGCCUACCAAGACUACGAUGGUUAGCGGGUCUGAGAGGAUGAUCCGUCACACUGGCACUGAAACACGGGCCAGACUCCUACGGGAGGGAGCAGUGAGGAAUAUUGCGCAAUGGGGGAAACCCUGACGUAGCGACGCCGCGUGAGUGAGGAAGGCCUUCGGGUCGUAAAGCUCUGUCAGAAGGGAAGAAAUGAUUGCAGGUUAAUACCCUGUAUUCUUGACGGUACCUUCAAAGGAAGCACCGGCUAACUCCGUGCCAGCAGCCGCGGUAAUACGGAGGGUGCAAACGUUGUUCGGAAUCACUGGGCGUAAAGGGCGC